rnacentral:rRNA from 1 species
UACGGGGGGGGCAAGCGUUGUUCGGAAUUACUGGGCGUAAAGAGCUCGUAGGCGGUUUGUCGCGUCUGCCGUGAAAGUCCGGGGCUCAACUCCGGAUCUGCGGUGGGUACGGGCAGACUAGAGUGAUGUAGGGGAGACUGGAAUUCCUGGUGUAGCGGUGAAAUGCGCAGAUAUCAGGAGGAACACCGAUGGCGAAGGCAGGUCUCUGGGCAUUAACUGACGCUGAGGCGCGAAAGCGUGGGGAGCAAACAGG